rnacentral:tRNA from 1 species
GGGUGUAUAACUUAGUAGUAUAGUGCCUGCUUAGUAUGCACAAGGUCCUGGGUUCAAUCCCUAGUAACUCCA